rnacentral:rRNA from 1 species
AUUGAACGCUGGCGGCAGGCCUAACACAUGCAAGUCGAGCGAGCGGCGGACGGGUGAGUAAUGUCUGGGAAACAGCCCGAUGGAGGGGGAUAACAACUGGAAACGGUAGCUAAUACCGCAUACCAUCAGAUGUGCCCAGAUGGGAUUAGCUCGUAGGUGGGGUAAUGGCUCACCUAGGCGACGAUCCCUAGCUGGUCUGAGAGGAUGACCAGCCACACUGGACCUGAGACACGGUCCAGACUCCUACGUGAGGCAGCAGUGGGGAAUAGUGCACAAUGGGCGCAAGCCUGAUGCAGCCAUGCCGCGUGUAUGAAGAAGGCCUUCGGGUUGUAAAGCACUUUCAGCGGGGAGGCGUUACCCGCAGAAGAAGCACCGGCUAACUCCGUGCCAGCAGCCGCGGUAAUUC